rnacentral:rRNA from 1 species
UACGUAGGCGGAAAAAUAAGUCAGUGGUGAAAUCCUGCAGCUCAACUGUAGAACUGCCAUUGAAACUGUUUUUCUUGAGUAUAGUUGAGGUGGGCGGAAUGUGUCAUAUAGCGGUGAAAUGCUUAGAUAUGACACAGAACACCGAUUGCGUAGGCAGCUCACUAAACUAUCACUGACGCUGAGGUACGAAAGCGUGGGGAGCGAACAGGAUUAGAUACCCUGGUAGUCC